AGUCUUAUCCUGACCUACACUACCAUUUGGCUUGUGUUUAUGGUUUUAUGGGAAGUUUUAUUGAAGCAGAAGCGUGCAUUAAGAUGUUAGUCCUUAUUUGUUAUAACAUAAUGGAUUAACAAUACAGAAUAAAAAGAGCAUAUUUUAUACAUAGCUAAAUAUAUGUUUAGAAUAACUAGACUCAGUGUACAUAUAGUAGAUGAAUUAAGUAUUUUAUUGACAGUCCAGAUAUGUUUAAACCCCUUGUUAUGUUUGAAAGCAAACCACAGUAAUAAGACGAGCGGAUUUAUUCGCUGAACAGAGACGUCAGCACAUAUUCAUGUUUAAGUAAGAGUAAGAUUUUGUCAUGUAGAAGUGUCAACUUGGGUUCAAAUCUUUUUGAUUUUCUAUUAACAGUUGAUUUAGCAUUCAAAACAAUUCGACUUCUCUUUUUGGACAACCUUAAUUGUCGAUUCGUUUGUUGAUGCGAUGAGUUCUUCUUCAACUAAAUGUUAAUUUUAAUAAUAAUAAGUGGAUCAUUCGGAGUAUCAUUAUAUAUUGUAAUUGAAGCAAAAUUAAUCCAUAUAAUAGUUAAAGAUCAUGACAACCAUAGUUAAUAGAUGUAUAAGUUUUGUUACUAUAAGGUCAAUGCAUAAUUAUAUGCAUUUAAACCAUUUUCUGCUCAUACGAGACUGCUUUCGGUUUGGAUGAGAUUUACUAAACAUAACAAAAACAGUUUUAUUAUUUCUUAAGUGACAGGUUUUGGUUAUAUUAAAAACAAAAUAAAGAGAUGUGAUAUGAUAACAUAUGACGCAAUAUUUCUCAAAAGAUUAAAUGACAAAGAUGAAUACAGUUAUAAGACAUAGUACUGUUUUUUAAACAAUCAGCGAAGCCUAUAACGUUUCAAAGAAGCAAGUAAAAUUGUGAAUGAAUUUACGGAUUGAUUUUUGUUAAAAACAAUAACCUAAUACUACUCCCAUACUAGUAUAGAUAUGUCAGAUAACAACCACUAAUUACCACUAAAUAUAAGGCUUUUUUCCUGGAUAGAAUGUUAUGAAAUUAAACAUUUUUGUAAGCACUUAAUCAAUGCCUUAACUGGUGGUGCAACAGCAUAACAUAAGAACAAACUGUUUGAAACAUUUUCAGAGGGCUUGCUUCAUCGGAUUAAGGUGAUUGUUCAUGAGUAUUCAAAACAAAUAAUUUGAAUGUUUAAGCUGUGGUUUGUUAUUUCAUCUUUUAAUCAUUUGCAGGAGUGACUUUUCAUUGGCGUAUUGCAAUACAAUUCCAAAUGAUAUAAAAAUUUCCACUGCAAUGAGAAACUGGGGAUGUUUAACCUUAUUCAACACAAGAGCAAUUUCUCACCUGAAGGUCAUGUGACGGACACAGUUAUGCCAUCCUGCAUAUGACAGUAAAAG
rnacentral:lncRNA from 1 species